UCCAAAAGCGACUGCGCACGCGCGCCCUGGGCGCCGACCCUUGCGGGUUACCCAAGGUUCCCGCUCCAGGCCAAGAAGAGCGGCGCCGGCGCGGGGCAGUUGCACCACGCAUGCGUGAGGGCGAGCCGCAUUCCUGAACGUUAACCGGGAGCGGUAGCUGUCGCUUGGGAGGCAGGCAGUAUAACCCAGUGGCGAGGGUACGACAGGUACUUCCGAGUGGGGGAUUGAAGGCCCUGAAGACUGGGGCACACGGAAAGAAUCUAGAAGCUCUGAGCAGUUGAAAAGAGCACUGGACUGAGAGUCAAGGACUCUGGGCUUUGCUGUUAGCCGUUCCACAGUAUUGAAGUCAGUGACUAGUGCUUUGUAAAUUGCAAACUUUGUAGCAAGUGUCACCAACUGUAUGCAUUCGACCAUGAUAUCUUGUUUUGAAAAGUUAUUUACCAAAUUAAGCAUAAUAAUAAUGGGAAAACAAAUCAUGCCUAAUCGGACCACAGCUCAGUUAAAAUCUCCGUCUAAGCCUAUCAACUUCAGCUUUGUAUUCCCAGCGAAUUCAGCACGUAACACAAUUCCUGGCCUAUGGUAAAGAAAAUGCGGACACACAGAGAUACCAGGGGCAUGUACAUUGGAAAGACCACGUGAGGACACAACAAGAAGGCAGCCAUCUACAAGCCAAAGAGGGAGGCCUCAAGAGAAACCAACCCUGCUGAUGCCUUGAUCACAGGCUUCUAGCCUCCAGAACUGUGAGACAAUAAAUAUCCAUGAAAAGUUUGAAUUACUCUGACUCAGAUGUUUAUGAUAGAGAUCAGAAUUUAUAAACUUU